CAAAUUUAUCAACAUUUAAGAACUCCGCCGAUUCAUUUUAAGAGGCUGAUUUUGGAUCUACAAAUAUUCAUUAUUUUAGCACUGAUUUUGGGUUUUGAUUCCGGUUAUCAGUGGAAGAAUCCCUCUACAAGCGACAAAGGUGAAUAAGGUAUUCAUAGGAAAGCUUCUUCGGCAAUUGUCGCAAUUGGGCUUUCGCUGUUGGUUUAGUUUGCAUGGGUGUUUGUUCUUAUUGAGGGAUUAAUGUGAAGCUUUUAUUCUUUCCAGAGACGUGAAGAAGACGAACAGCGCAGGUGACUUGGAAGAUCGGAUUUUGGGUAAAGGCAUAAUAAGCCUUGCUCUAUUGUUGAAGAACACUAAGGAACUUGAAGAGGGUCCAUAUCACAAUCUAACAGGGAAAAGGAAACGCUACAGGAAUCCAAAAUUAGCAGUUUGAAUUAAUUUUGGUAAGUUGUCUUUACAACAAAUUAAUGUCCAUUUGAGCUCAUUUUGAAUAGGUUUUUGUAUGCAUUUUAUACCUCAUUUUCUGAUUCUGGGGGACUUGCUGGGCUUGGCAAAGGAUAUGCUAUCAAUUUUAAUUAGCUUUGUUUCGUCCGCUCUAAAGCAUAUGGUUAUGGUUGACAUUUAGUGGAAUCUGGAUAAUUUUGUUUGAUAUUCACUGCAGCCUGGACAAAUGCCAUGGGCCAAAUUUGAAUGCCACCAAUACAUGAUUUCCGAUAGUGAUUACAGCAUAUUAAUUUGUAAAGCUAAUUUGCUGGCAAACUUUUUUGCUUUUAAUCGUGGCUUGCUUGCCAGUGAAGUGUACUGAAUCAAGAACUUUUGGGAGUUCAAGGACAUAUUUGAGUUUUAAAAAUUGGUGGAAAAUUGCUAAAUGCAAGACUUUAGGGUUGGAUUUUCUUAAGUUACAAUUCUUGGAGUUGGUAGUUAACUCAAUUUCGUGCUUGAAAUGUAUUAUGGGAUUUUAUUUUCUUUCAAGAUAAAUCAAUUC